rnacentral:rRNA from 1 species
CCUACGGGCGGCUGCAGUAAGGAAUAUUGGUCAAUGGACGGAAGUCUGAACCAGCCAUCCCGCGUGCAGGAAGAAGGUCCUAUGGAUUGUAAACUGCUUUUAGCAGAGACGAAACGCCUUCAUUUAUGGGGGUUUGACGGUAUCUGCGGAAUAAGCACCGGCUAACUCCGUGCCAGCAGCCGCGGUAAUACGGAGGGUGCCGGCGUCACCGGGAUUAACGGGGGCGUAGGCGGGCGAUUAAGUCGGUGGUGAAAGCCUGUAGCUUAACUACAGAAUUGCCAUUGAUACUGAUUUUCUUGAAUUGGGUUGAGGUUAGCGGAAUGUGACAUGUAACGGUGAAAUGUGUAGAUAUGUCAUGGAACACCGAUUGCGAAGGCAGCUAGCUGGGCCUUGAUUGACGCUGAGGCACGAAAGCGUGGGGAGCGAACAGGAUUAGAUACCCUUGUAGUC